CUUUUUCGGAUGACUCAUGGGAGGAAGGCGGUGUGCGGAACGGCUUUUCUGCUCUUCCCAGGAUCGAAGCAGCAGCUGGCAGACAAAGAAGGUGGCAAUAAGAGCAUCUGGAACAACUGUAAAUAACAAACAACGUUGAAAAGGGAAGAAAAUCAAGCCAGAAAUCAAAAUAUUUUCCAUUUUUUCAGAAAACAAUACAAUUCUGCUCCUCCUCCAGCAACUGUUAGACAAAAGAGAGAAAAUCAAUAAAGAUUUCAAGCAGGAAUAAGCAGGUUAUUCAG
rnacentral:lncRNA from 1 species